GACGAACGCUGGCGGCGUGCUUAACACAUGCAAGUCGAACGGAAAGGCCUUUUCGGAGGUACUCGAGUGGCGAACGGGUGAGUAACACGUGGGUGAUCUGCCCUGCACUCUGGGAUAAGCCUGGGAAACUGGGUCUAAUACCGGAUAGGACCGCACUUUAGUGUGUGUGGUGGAAAGUUUUUUCGGUGUAGGAUGAGCCCGCGGCCUAUCAGCUUGUUGGUGGGGUAAUGGCCUACUAAGGCGGCGACGGGUAGCCGGACUGAGAGUUAGGUAGGCAACAUUGGAACUGAUGAACGGCCCAGUCACCGCCGAGGGGCAGCUAGUGGAAAUGUUGCAGAAGGAGCACAGGCCUGAUGCAUCUACGCUGCGUGGUAGAUGACAGCCUUCUUGUUGUGAACUCCUUUCUCCAGGGACGAGUCUUUUUGUGACGGUACCUGGUGAAGAAGCACCGGCUAACUACGUG
rnacentral:rRNA from 1 species